rnacentral:rRNA from 1 species
GAUGAACGCUAGCGGCAGGCCUAAUACAUGCAAGACGAACGGUAAGUUGUGUAGCAAUACAUGACCUAGAGUGUCGUAAGGGUGCGUAACACGUAUGCAAUCUGCCCGGAACAGGAGGAUAGCUCGCCGAAAGGCGAAUUAACACUCCAUAGGAUCAUAGAGAGGCAUCUCUUAGUGAUUAAAACUACGGUGGUUUCGGAUGAGCAUGCGGAUGAUUAGCUAGUUGGUGAGGUAACGGCUCACCAAGGCGAUGAUCAAUAGGGGAACUGAGAGGUUGAUCCCCCACACUGGCACUGAGAUACGGGCCAGACUCCUACGGGAGGCAGCAGUAGGGAAUAUUGGACAAUGGUUGCAAGACUGAUCCAGCCAUGCCGCGUGCAGGAAGAAGGCUUUCUGAGUUGUAAACUGCUUUUGUCAGGGGAUAAAAAGCCCGUGCGCGGGAAAUUGAAGGUACCUGGUGAAUAAGCCACGGCUAACUACGUGCCAGCAGCCGCGGUAAUACGUAGGUGGCAAGCGUUGUCCGGAUUUAUUGGGUUUAAAGGGUGCGUAGGCGGCCCUGUAAGUCAGUUGUGAAAUACGGCAGCUUAACUGUCGAGGUGCAAUUGAUACUGCGGGGCUAGAGUACUGAUGAGGUAAGCGGAAUGGACGGU